UAGUCAUAUGCUUGUCUCAAAGAAUUAGCCAUGCAAGCUUUAGUAUAAACUUCCUUAUAUCGGGAAAGUGUGAAUGGCUCACUUAAUCCGUUCUUGGUUUUUUGAAGGUAUUUAUCUGGUUCGAUAUCCGGAGUAAUUCCAGAGUUAAUAGUCGCGUACAUCCCGACUUUUGGAAGGGAUGUCUUUAUUUGAUAAAAGGCCGGCCGGGCUUUCCCGACUCGCGGUGACUCCUGAUAACUUCUCGGAUUGGAUGGCCUUGCGCCGGUGAUGUUUCAUUCAAAUUUCUGGCCUAUCCAUUUUUGAAGGUAAGAUAGAGGCCUCCCAAGGUGGGAAGGGGGGACGGAGAAUUUGGGUUUGAUUUCGGAGAGGGAGCCUGAGAAACGGCCACCACAUCCAAGGAAGGCAGCAGGCGGGCCAAUUACCCAAUCCUGAUUCAGGGGGGGAGUGACAAGAAAUAACCAAAGAAGUGUUAUUUGCAUUUUCUUAUUGGAAAGGGUAGGAUCUAAAUCUCUUUUCGACUAUCCAUU
rnacentral:rRNA from 1 species